ensembl:snoRNA SNORA17B small nucleolar RNA, H/ACA box 17B
GCUGUCCUGGACCUGUCGGCACCACAGACAGUUGCUCUGCUGUGCCUGUGGCCUCGGGGCAAAGAGAAAGUGGCGAUUUCUACACUCAGUGCUCGGGAACCAGUGGGCACUGAGAAUGGUUUAUGGCCUCACAUUA